rnacentral:rRNA from 1 species
UACGUAGGGUGCGAGCGUUGUCCGGAAUUAUUGGGCGUAAAGAGCUCGUAGGCGGUCUGUCACGUCGGCUGUGAAAACCCGAGGCUCAACCUCGGGCCUGCAGUCGAUACGGGCAGACUAGAGUUCGGUAGGGGAGACUGGAAUUCCUGGUGUAGCGGUGAAAUGCGCAGAUAUCAGGAGGAACACCGGUGGCGAAGGCGGGUCUCUGGGCCGAAACUGACGCUGAGGAGCGAAAGCGUGGGGAGCGAACAGG